AUCUUCGGAUAUGAGUAGAGCGGCGGACGGGUGAGUAACGCGUAGGAAUCUACCUAGUAGAAGGGGAUAGCCCGGGGAAACCCGGAUUAAUACCGUAUACCUCCUUCGGGAGAAAGAAGGCCUCUCUUUGAAGCUUUCGCUACUAGAUGAGCCUGCGUAAGAUUAGCUUGUUGGUGAGGUAAAGGCUCACCAAGGCUACGAUCUUUAGCUGGUCUGAGAGGACGAUCAGCCACAUUGGGACUGAGACGCGGCCCAGACUCCUACGGGAGGCAGCAGUGGGGAAUAUUGGACAAUGGGCGCAAGCCUGAUCCAGCCAUACCGCGUGUGUGAAGAAGGCCUUCGGGUUGUAAAGCACUUUAAGCAGGGAGAAAAAGUUAUAAGUUAACACCUUAUAACCUUGAUGUUACCUGCAGAAUAAGCACCGGCUAAUUCCGUGCCAGCAGCCGCGGUAAUACGGAAGGUGCAAGCGUUAAUCGGAAUUACUGGGCGUAAAGCGCGCGUAGGUGGUUUGUUAAGUUGGAUGUGAAAGCCCUGGGCUCAACCUAGGAACUGCAUCCAAAACUAACUCACUAGAGUACGAUAGAGGGAGGUAGAAUUCAUAGUGUAGCGGUGGAAUGCGUAGAUAUUAUGAAGAAUACCAGUGGCGAAGGCGGCCUCCUGGAUCUGUACUGACACUGUGGUGCGAAAGCGUGGGUAGCGAACAGGAUUAGAUACCCUGGUAGUCCACGCCGUAAACGAUGACAACUAGCUGUUGGAAGACAACGUCUUUCAGUGGCGCAGCUAACGUUUUAAGUUGUCCGCCUGGGGAGUACGGCCGCAAGGCUAAAACUCAAAUGAAUUGACGGGGACCCGCACAAGCGGUGGAGCAUGUGGUUUAAUUCGAUGCAACGCGAAAAACCUUACCUACUCUUGACAUACUUGGGAGCUCUUGUAAUGAGAGUGUGCCUUUUGGAACCAAGAUACAGGUGCUGCAUGGCUGUCGUCAGCUC
rnacentral:rRNA from 1 species